rnacentral:rRNA from 1 species
AACGAACGCUGGCGGCAUGCCUAACACAUGCAAGUCGAACGAAGCCUUCGGGCUUAGUGGCGCACGGGUGCGUAACGCGUGGGAAUCUGCCCUUGGGUUCGGAAUAACAGUUAGAAAUGACUGCUAAUACCGAAUGAUGUCUUCGGACCAAAGAUUUAUCGCCCAAGGAUGAGCCCGCGUCGGAUUAGCUAGUUGGUGAGGUAAAGGCUCACCAAGGCGACGAUCCGUAGCUGGUCUGAGAGGAUGAUCAGCCACACUGGGACUGAGACACGGCCCAGACUCCUACGGGAGGCGGCAGUGGGGAAUAUUGGACAAUGGGCGAAAGCCUGAUCCAGCAAUGCCGCGUGAGUGAUGAAGGCCUUAGGGUUGUAAAGCUCUUUUACCCGGGAUGAUAAUGACAGUACCGGGAGAAUAAGCCCCGGCUAACUCCGUGCCAGCAGCCGCGGUAAU